rnacentral:rRNA from 1 species
UACAGAGGUCUCAAGCGUUGUUCGGAUUCAUUGGGCGUAAAGGGUGCGUAGGUGGUGAUGCAAGUCUGGUGUGAAAUCUCGGAGCUCAACUCCGGAACUGCCUUUGAUACAGCACAUCUGGAGUCCGGAAGAGGUGGGUGGAAUUCCUAGUGUAGAGGUGAAAUUCGUAGAUAUUAGGAAGAACACCGGUGGCGAAGGCGGCCCACUGGUCCGGUACUGACGCUGAGGUGCGAAAGCGUGGGGAGCAAACAGG